CGGCGUCGGCGGCGGUCAGUGCGACUCCGAGGCUUUGCGAGAUGCGACCGUCCGCCACCACCGCCGUCGCAACCGUUGCCGAUGACUCACGGUAGUCCUUUGUCACGACAUUUGAGUUUCGUGUCCGUUUCAUCCGCCGACAGCGGCGGACGUUUAAACGCUCCACCGGUACUACAAAGGCCACCACCAUUUACUGUUGGCUGAGCUCGUCGUCUCCCACGGGGAGACAUAACUAUGGACCGUCCGCGCUUGGAGGCAAGAGAGGCACCUUCCCGAACGUCGCCAUGCAGGAAGUGGAGAGGGCCAAGGCUAGACACAUGGCGAAAAAACAAAACAGCAAAGUAGAACGACAGAAGUCAUCAGACAAAUCGUUAUCCAAAGCACCAAGUAUUGAGACCAAAAAACAAGAGAAAUGAGAAACUAUAUUCACACAUUAAAGAUUUUAUUUUUUUAGCACUCUCACUGAAGAUGAUAACUUCACAGUAAUUCGUAAUCAAAUACAAUUCUUUAAGUACACUAUAAUAUUUUUAUUGUAAUUUAUAAUACACAUCGCAAUUUCAUUGUAUAUUUACAUAAUAAUGAUCGUGUUAAUCUUACCUUAAAUUUUGACACGUUUCGUGUAUUCAAUGACCAAACAUAUUUUGUAACAUUUAGAGUGAAGAACAACUAUAAUAGUAUUG